UAGAGUUUGAUCCUGGCUCAGGAUGAACGCUAGCGACAGGCUUAACACAUGCAAGUCGAGGGGCAGCGGGUAGAUGAGCUUGCUCAUUUAUGCCGGCGACCGGCGCACGGGUGAGUAACACGUAUGCAACCUGCCCGUCUCAGGGGGAUAAUCGUCGGAAACGGCGUCUAAUACCCCGUAUGAAGCCGGACGGCAUCGUCUGGUUUUGAAAGAAUAUCGGAGACGGAUGGGCAUGCGGCGCAUUAGCUGGUUGGCGGGGUAACGGCCCACCAAGGCGACGAUGCGUAGGGGUUCUGAGAGGAAGGUCCCCCACACUGGUACUGAGACACGGACCAGACUCCUACGGGAGGCAGCAGUGAGGAAUAUUGGUCAAUGGGCGAGAGCCUGAACCAGCCAAGUCGCGUGAGGGAGUACUGCCCUAUGGGUUGUAAACCUCUUUUGUCGGGGAGCAAAAGCCGGACGUGUCCGUCUGUGAGAGUACCCGAAGAAAAAGCAUCGGCUAACUCCGUGCCAGCAGCCGCGGUAAUACGGAGGAUGCGAGCGUUAUCCGGAUUUAUUGGGUUUAAAGGGUGCGCAGGCGGAUUUUUAAGUCAGCGGUCAAAUCGUGGGGCUCAACCCCAUCCAGCCGUUGAAACUGGGGAUCUAGAGUGUGCGAGAGGUAUGCGGAAUGCGUGGUGUAGCGGUGAAAUGCAUAGAUAUCACGCAGAACCCCGAUUGCGAAGGCAGCAUACCGGUGCACAACUGACGCUCAGGCACGAAAGCGUGGGUAUCGAACAGGAUUAGAUACCCUGGUAGUCCACGCAGUAAACGAUGAAUGCUACCUGUUUGGCCAGAUUGAAGGCUGAGCGGGACAGCGAAAGCGUUAAGCAUUCCACCUGGGGAGUACGCCGGCAACGG
rnacentral:rRNA from 1 species